rnacentral:rRNA from 1 species
AAGGGGGUCCAGUCGAGGUGCUGCAUGGCUGUCGUCAGCUCGUGUCGUGAGAUGUUGGGUUAAGUCCCGCAACGAGCGCAACCCUUGUCCUGUGUUGCCAUGCCGAAAGGCGGAACUCGCAGGAGACCGCCAGCGAUAAGCUGGAGGAAGGUGGGGAUGACGUCAAGUCCUCAUGGCCUUUAUGUCCAGGGCUACACACGUGCUACAAUGGCCGGUACAAAGCGCAGCGAACUCGCGAGAGGGAGCCAAUCGCAAAAAACCGGUCUCAGUUCGGAUUGCAGGCUGCAACUCGCCUGCAUGAAGCUGGAAUCGCUAGUAAUGGCAGAUCAGCACGCUGCCGUGAAUACGUUCCCGGGCCUUGUACACACCGCCCGUCACAUCACGAAAGUGGAUUGUACUAGAAGUCUGCAGGCUGACCCGCAAGGGGAGCAGCGGCCCAAGGUAUGAUCCAUGAUUGGGGUGAAGUCGUAACAAGGUAAGCGUAGUGCU